rnacentral:sRNA from 1 species
AAGUUAUUAUACAUAAAAGUUUGCAAAUUAUAUCUAUCUAUAAAAUAUUUUUAUUUUAUAGUUUACAAUUGUUAUUAAGUAACGUCCUGUCAAACCCGUCCCACCAACCCGUCCCGUAAAAAAACCAUUUAUUUUGUAAUAAUUAAAUGAUAUUAAAUAUUUUAA